rnacentral:rRNA from 1 species
GUGGGGAAUAUUGGACAAUGGGCGCAAGCCUGAUCCAGCCAUGCCGCGUGAGUGAUGAAGGCCCUAGGGUUGUAAAGCUCUUUCACCGGUGAAGAUAAUGACGGUAACCGGAGAAGAAGCCCCGGCUAACUUCGUGCCAGCAGCCGCGGUAAUACGAAGGGGGCUAGCGUUGUUCGGAAUUACUGGGCGUAAAGCGCACGUAGGCGGACAUUUAAGUCAGGGGUGAAAUCCCGGAGCUCAACUCCGGAACUGCCUUUGAUACUGGGUGUCUUGAGUAUGGAAGAGGUAAGUGGAAUUCCGAGUGUAGAGGUGAAAUUCGUAGAUAUUCGGAGGAACACCAGUGGCGAAGGCGGCUUACUGGUCCAUUACUGACGCUGAGGUGCGAAAGCGUGGGGAGCAAACAGGAUUAGAAACCCUAGUAGUCC